AAUUUAAUUUAGUUUAAUUAUGCUGGACUUGCAUUCCGGAUUAUAGCUAGAUUUUAGCUUUAAAUUA
rnacentral:tRNA from 1 species